rnacentral:lncRNA from 1 species
GUAAAUCUCACUGAAAACUGGAUGGUAUUUGAUCACAAUGUUUUCAUUUCCAUUCAGAUAUAUAUGGAACUGACCCAAUUCUGGUAUGAAUGAAUGUGCUUCAGGUUGGAGGCAAACCAUCUUCUUGUGGAAGUACCACGUUGGCCAAUCUCCAACUACNGGAAGGACAUUUGAUUUCUUAUAACUUGACUGGGAUAUGGUUCUGAAGAUCCACUAGAAUAGUGGCCAUAUGAACAGCAUUGGAUAGUUGUCGNCCUUGUGGUGUCUUAACAACAUUGAUAUUGUGGAAGUCAUCAAUCAUUAGGAUCAGAAAAUUGCCCUUCAAAUAAAAUGGUGUCUUGCAUAUCCAAGGACCAUACCAGCUGACAUUCCAGUUGAUGUCAGGCCAUGGAGAUCAAGAAAGAUAGAAGUCUCAUCAUGAAAAUAGCCAUGUCUUUGAUUUCUAUCAAAGAUAUGAUAAUUAUUAAAAUUUGAACAGCUUUUCUUUUUAUCAGUAAAUCUCAUUCAGGAAAAAAUGCAAAUUUUCAAGUCAUAUUUUAAAAAUUAGUAAGAUGCUUGAAAUGGAGUUCUGUUAAGACAAACAACAAAAGUUUUCAUGAUUUUUCAAUGAAUACCUGAAGUAUAAAAGGUCCCAUAUAAGAGAUGUUACUCUUUUUUCCUGCAUUUGAAUUUUUUUCAAUCCUUGCCUUUCAUUUGAUAUGGAACUUAGUAAAGUGUUAUAUAUGUUUGGUGCAUGGGUCAGAACAAAUCCUUUCAUAUUCUCGUGGCCAAUCAAGCGUUGCUUAUCUUUCUCCUUUUCGAGUGAUUUUCCAAGUUUAUUUAAACUAUCCUCGAAUGAUGGUUCUGUAUAGAAUAAAAAGUAAAAAAACCCUCACUAUUGUUUUGGUGUAUUAUUUUGAAACUCUCUACUGUAUUAUGCAAUAUAUACCAUUAAGUUUUGCUUGUAUAUUUUGCCAUGUAGUCUUCUCCAUCAUUACAUCCCCCUCUGAUCCAACCAAGAUUUCCCCAUGUGUUGAUUGAGCCAAGCUCCAAUAUCUUCUGUUGUCAAUCUUUUCAGAACAAUAUUCAAGCAAUCAAAUAGGCUAUUGGCAUUAUGCAAGGAGUAUAGGAAGUGGAAUGCUUAGGGCUCUUUUAUUUUUUUUCUGAUUGUAGAUACAUGAGCUUACAUUACCAAAGAAUUAGUAUGUAGUUGUAUGAUAUGAUGACAUAAUCAAAUGCAGAUUCAGGCUCAGCAGAACAGGAAGGGGAAAGUGCCCCUGAGAUUGCCUAUUAUCUGAUAACUUUUAUAUUGGUUUGUUGUAAAUUUGCUUAAAGAGUAAAAUACCUUUUCUGUUUCAAUUUGCAUAUUUCCAUUUGACUCUUCCCUCUCCUGUGUAUUUUCUAACAAUGGUCCUGUUGCAUUGUUUUCUAGUAAAGCCUGCAUUUAUGAUGUGUA